UUUGUUGGCCUCAAAUAGCUGCUUUAUUAGAUGUAAUGAAGCAGGGGACAUAGAAGCAAAAAGUAAAACAGCAGAAGAAGAAAUGAUCAAGAUUAGAUCCUGUGCUGAAAGAGAAACCAAGAAAAAAGAUGACAUUCCAGAAGAAUACAAAGGAAAUGUAAAACAAUGUGAAAUCAAUUAUGUAAAGAAAUUUCAGAGCUUCCAAGACCAAAAACUUAAAAUAAGUAAAGAAGAGAGUAAAAUUCUUAAAAAAGGCUCAGAAAGAUGGAUUUUUGCAUGAGACGCUUCUGGACAGUACUCUAGGUCAUUCUGAAGCAAGUGAUACAAACCACAGAAUGAGGAACACGCCUUCAGGAGACUGAAUCUUGCUUCCCAACACUAGCUUGGUAUCUGAGACCAUCUGCCUGCUGACUGGCUUUCCUGGCACAAACAUUCCGCAUGUAGGCACAGUGUAUUCCUGGACUCCAUGUCAACCCGUUCACCCUUAUGUUCCCUUGGUUCCUCUCCCCAGUCCAGCGAGCAGAACUGAUUACAGAUCUUGACAACAGAAGAUACAGAUUUAAAAUAACUUGCCUGUUCCCGUGGACUUUAUCCACUAGUGGAGGAGGACAAGUGGACAAGGGGAGAGGGUAGGUGGGGGCUCCUUCCCUAUUCCUCCCAUUCCACUUUAUACAAACCCCAGCUAGACCACUGGGAGAGCAACGGAGGUUAAGAAUGACUGCAUCUAAAUAUUGUCAUCUAGUCCACUCUUCUUCCAUCUUGUACACAAGAAUAUCAUGAGUUUUGCUUAAAGCACUACUGAAACCAAGAUAAACUCUGGCUUGGCAUGCCUCUGACAGAUCAGUCUAGUAAUCUUAUCAAAACCAAGACUACCUAAAAGCACUAACCAAAGGAAAGCUCCCUCACCCCAACCUAUGACUGCUCACAUUUUUCAGAUUGAAUCAUUUCAAUUGUAUUUUAAGGUUCAUUGACUCUUCACCACCUCCAAGCUGCUCCUGAACACAACUGAUUGUUAUUUUUUAAUUCUGAAAACUUUCUCACUUCUAGAAUUUCCACUUGAGCCUUUGUUAUUAUUGUAGUUUCUUCUUCUCUGCUGUGAUUUCCUAUCCAUUUAUUUUAUGGGUUUUUGGGGUUUUGAUUUUAGUAAGAAUUACAAUAACUACUUUAAAAAUCCACACUAAUUCCAACAUCUGGGUCAUCGAGGUCAGUCUCUAUUGAUUGCCUUUUUCUUUGAAUAUGUUUCUUUAUAAGUUUGAUAUAAUGGGAUUGAAUUCUGAAUAUUGUAAAACUAGAUUUUGUUUUGUUCCUCUGAAAAUUUUGAUAAUUUUAUGUUGUAUUUGUUGUAUUUUGUUUGAUUGUUUUUUUCUAUUGUAUACUUUACAAUAUAUUUUCCUCCAAUGGUUUUAACGUUUCUAUUUCUCAAAAUAUUUAUGUUAAAAAUUAUACAAAGUAACUUGGUGCAGUGGCUCCCAUCUGUAAUCCCAGAACUUUUAGAGGCCAAGGCAGGAGGGUCACUUGAGCCCAGGAGUUGGAAGCCAGCCUAGACAACAGGACAAGAACCUGUCUCCACAAAAAAUUAUUAGGGUGGUGCAAAAAGUAAUUGCGGGUUUUGCCAUUACUUUCAAUGGCAAAACCCGCAAUUACUCUUGCACCAA
rnacentral:lncRNA from 1 species